rnacentral:lncRNA from 1 species
CUCUAAGCUAACACCAGUGGGAGCUGAGAUUGUCCGAGUCCUAUCUCCAUCACUAAUUCCUUGGGCUAAAGGAUAUAUUAAUGGCUUGACUUGUUCUGUCCUUAUCGGCAGUUCAGGAUAUAUAUUAAUGGUAGACUUUUUCUGACCUCUGCAUCUCUAAUGAAUGCAUGUAUCUCAGUUAUUCAUGACGGCUGAUUGUACCAGAGACCAGCUGUGCGUUGCAAAGUUUAAUAAAUAUCAAGUUUAGUUGAGAGUCAGGAGCGUGACAUGUUGGUCCUUUUGGUCUAGGACUGGUUUUAUUGCUAGCUUAGCUUAGGCUGAGCACCAAUUUUUUGUUACUUAGUACGGGUAUCUUUAGGGUUCAGAGUUUUGUUUUGGCUGUUAUUUUGACAUGAAUUUCUGUCCUGUCUCCUUUUCAAUUCUUCCAGUUUGGUUCAAGAAUUGCAAGAGAAUCAAAUCGAAAGAACUUUGGAAGCAACCGUGCAGCCAACCAAGCAUCUGCAGGAAGUGUCGAGAUUCAUCAUUCUCUAAGCUAACACCAGUUGGAGCUGAGAUUGUCCAAUUCCUAUCUCCAUCACUAAUUCCUUGGGCUAAAGGAUAUAUUAAUGGCUUGACUUGUUCUGUCCUUAUCGGCAGUUCAGGAUAUAUAUUAAUGGUAGACUUUUUCUGACCUCUGCAUCUCUAAUGAAUGCAUGUAUCUCAGUUAUUCAUGACGGCUGAUUGUACCAGAGACCAGCUGUGCGUUGCAAAGAUUGAAGUCAGGUUGAGAUCCUUGAUGUGGAUUUCCAAUGCCCCAAACAUCCUCGACCCAGUUUAAUUUGAGACUUUCCUAAUCCAUCCACACACACAAAGGGUGAAAGGAAAAUUAUCCAAUUUCAUCUUCUAUUUAUUGUUUUCUUUUGUGCCUUGGGCGAUAGAAUUGCAAUUUGUAAGCUUGCCUCUGCAAAAGGAAAAGGUCAACUUGUGUAAGAGAAAAUGCCAGUCAAAUUGGUGUAUACAUCUGGCUGUAUCGAACAACUUGUAUCAGG